rnacentral:rRNA from 1 species
CCUACGGGAGGCAGCAGUGAGGAAUAUUGGUCAAUGGACGAGAGUCUGAACCAGCCAAGUAGCGUGAAGGAUGACUGCCCUAUGGGUUGUAAACUUCUUUUAUAUGGGAAUAAAAUGUUCCACGUGUGGGAUUUUGUAUGUACCAUAUGAAUAAGGAUCGGCUAACUCCGUGCCAGCAGCCGCGGUAAUACGGAGGAUCCGAGCGUUAUCCGGAUUUAUUGGGUUUAAAGGGAGCGUAGGUGGAUUGUUAAGUCAGUUGUGAAAGUUUGCGGCUCAACCGUAAAAUUGCAGUUGAAACUGGCAGUCUUGAGUACAGGAGAGGUGGGCGGAAUGCGUGGUGUAGCGGUGAAAUGCUUAGAUAUCACGAAGAACUCCGAUUGCGAAGGCAGUUCACUGGACUGCAACUGACACUGAGGCUCGAAAGUGUGGGUAUCAAACAGGAUUAGAUACCCUUGUAGUC